rnacentral:lncRNA from 1 species
GAGCCGGAAGGUCUGGGUGUCAUUUAUUGACAGCAGUUUAUACACAUUUGUUUCCUUCCCAGUGCAGGCAUAGAGCCCGUGAGAAGGGCAGUCUCUGAAUGAGGGGGCCAGGAACGUAGGUCGGACACGUCUUUGGCAGGCAUGUUCAGCCCCAGCAGGAUGCAAUCCUUCAAGUUGGAAUUCCACUGGGUAUCUGAGAGGGACCAAGGUGGGGGGUAGAGAGGAAGUCUUCAACAGGACUCACAUCUCGGUCCAGGCCUCCUCUCUCACUAUACAAGUCCAUCCAAGUUUUAGGACCCUGGGGGGCAACAGUCAGGCCCACCCACCUCAACAGGGGCAGAUUCUUCAAUCUGUGCCCAGUUCACACACACCUGUUUCCGCUGGUCACACAGUUAAAGAGAAUCAGACUUAUGGUAACAGACAGACCACUUCCUCUCUGCCCCUCCCCGGCACCUCUCUUCAGCAGCAUCUGCACAGGAACCGCUGGGAAGACGGAGGCCUGCCUUCUCAGUUCAGCCGCACAUGCCCUCAUCCGCAAACCUUCCAUCAGUGACAGGACGGAGGCCACACGUGGAUCUAGGCAGACACCUGUGCUCCCCAGUCCAUCACAUACUGCCCCGCCUGCGUGCUGCCAAAUGCUGGUGCCCAGGCCGGAACUCCAGCAGGCCCCGAAUUGGGACCUAAAGCUGGUUUGCAUAGGCACUUGGCAAUUUUUGGUAGGGAGGUGGAUAAAAAAGUAGAUGGAUGUGAGAAGAAUGAAAGAGUUUCAUUUGAUAGACUAAUUAGAGAUCUGAAGUGAUUUUACCUUUAUUUCCUUCACUUUAAGCCAAUCAUGAAAUUUCACAGUGAUUUCUGGGGUGGGAGCAGAAGGAAGGCUGUGUUAAGAAUCAUCGGGGCUGUGGCCCAGUCAGCCCGCGGAGGUGCAGGCAGGGCCAAACUUGCCAAUGGACUCAAACACUUUGGCAGCCAUGUUUCCUU